AGUCGAGCGCGAAAGUCCUUUCGGGGGCGAGUAGAGCGGCGAACGGGUGAGUAACACGUGAGAAUAUACCUUUUAGUGAAGAAUACUCUCGAGAAAUCGAGGUUAAUACUGCAUACGUCCCUUCGGGGAGAAAGAUGGCUUUUAUGCUGUCGCUGAAAGAUUAGCUCGCGUACUAUUAGCUUGUUGGUGGGGUAAAGGCCUACCAAGGCGAUGAUGGUUAACCGGCCUGAGAGGGUGAACGGUCACAUUGGAACUGAGACACGGUCCAGACUCCUACGGGAGGCAGCAGUGAGGAAUAUUGCGCAAUGGGCGAAAGCCUGACGCAGCGACGCCUCGUGGGGGAUGAAGGCCUUAGGGUCGUAAACUCCUGUUAAGUGGGAAGAAAGGCUCGCCAGUAAUAUGGGCGAGAGAUGACGUUACCACUAAAGAAAGCACCGGCUAACUUCGUGCCAGCAGCCGCGGUAAUACGAGGGGUGCAAGCGUUAUUCGGAAUAACUGGGCGUAAAGGGUGUGCAGACGGUUUUUUUAAGUCUAUUGUUUAAGCCCCCAGCCUAACUGGGGAUCAGCAGCAGAAACUGAAUGACUUGAGUAUGGAAGAGAGAAGUGGAAUUCUCGGAGUAGCGGUAAAAUGCGUAGAUCUCGAGAGGAACACCGAUGGCGAAGGCAGCUUCUUGGUCCAUUACUGACGUUGAGACACGAAAGCGUGGGGAGCAAACAGGAUUAGAUACCCUGGUAGUCCACGCCGUAAACGAUGAUCACUAGAUGUUAGUUCUGCUUGCAGAAUUAGUAUCGUAGCUAACGCGAUAAGUGAUCCGCCUGGGGAGUACGGUCGCAAGAUUAAAACUCAAAGAAAUUGACGGGGGUCCGCACAAGCGGUGGAACAUGUGGUUUAAUUCGACACUACGCGAGAAACCUUACCUAGACUUGACAUGGCAUUGACCGGUAUGGAAACAUACUUUUCCGAGUUUACUCGGACGGUGUCACAGGUGCUGCAUGGCUGUCGUCAGCUCGUGUCGUGAGAUGUUUGGUUAAGUCCUCUAACGAGCGCAACUCCUAUCGUCAGUUGCUACUGCUUCGGCAGGCACUCUGGCGAGACUGCCUGGGAAACCAGGAGGAAGGUGGGAACGACGUCAAGUCAUCAUGGUCCUUAUGUCUAGGGCUACACACGUGUUACAAUGGUCGGUACAAAAGGCUGCGAACCUGUAAAGGGGAGCGAAUCCUAGAAAGCCGAUCUAAGUUCGGAUUGAGGUCUGCAAUUCGACCUCAUGAAGUUGAAAUCGCUAGUAAUCGCGUAUCAGAAUGGCGCGGUGAAUACGUUCUCGGGCCUUGUACACACCGCCCGUCACACCACGAGAGUUGUCUGUACCCGAAAUCAUCUUAGCUAACCUGUUAAAGGAGGCGGAU
rnacentral:rRNA from 1 species